rnacentral:tRNA from 1 species
GAUACCACGCCGAUGGUCGGAUUACUCUGAUGUAGUAAAUAGUACAUGUUUAUGUAUGGUAUUA